GUGGGGAAUCUUCCGCAAUGGACGAAAGUCUGACGGAGCAACGCCGCGUGAGUGAAGAAGGUUUUCGGAUCGUAAAGCUCUUUCGUUAGGGACGAACGUGCUCUUUGUAAAUAAUGAGGAGUAAUGACGGUACCUAAAUAAGAAGCCACGUCUAACUACGUGCCAGCAGCCGCGGUAAUACGUAGGUGGCAAGCGUUGUCCGGAAUUAUUGGGCGUAAAGCGCGCGCAGGCGGGAUAUCAAGUCUGUCUUAAAAGUGCGAGGCUCAACCUCGUGAGGGGACAGAAACUGGUAUUCUUGAGUGUCGGAGAGGAAAGUGGAAUUCCAAGUGUAGCGGUGAAAUGCGUAGAGAUUUGGAAGAACACCAGUGGCGAAGGCGACUUUCUGGACGAUGUCUGACGCUGAGGCGCGAAAGCUAGGGGAGCGAACGGGAUUAGAAACCCUAGUAGUCC
rnacentral:rRNA from 1 species